UGAACUACUACUACUACUACUAUUAUUAUUAUUAUUAUUAUUAUUAUUAUUAUUAUUAUUAUUAUUGACACAAAGACAUAGUCUUUGCAGCUUGAUCUUCACAUCCUCGUAUUAUGUCAGCUCCUCCAGUUGCUUCUUGUCAAUCCUGCUGUCACCUGGGACUGAAACAUCAGCGAUCCAUACUUUGUUUUUUUCCACAAUUGAGACUCUAAGUGGCUGGCCCAGAAAACGACAGGUCCGUUUUAAGGUUGGCACCCAUCAGCAGCGACUUGAAGGCACACAACGAGAGCAACUUACCGGUAACGUGAAGAAGGCAGGAUGCUUGGAUUCCUCCUCGUAUUUCCCUUCGGUGGGACUUCCAGUUUCUACGGAUUUAGACAUGGUGUUUUUGCCGAUCCCCAUUGUUUCCAGAACGUUGAGGAAAUCCAGGUGGUUGCCCAGUUAUCGCUGCAGGAGAUGAACUUCCAAUGGAAACGACAGCAGCUCGGAAGUCGGGAGAGCUCCGCAGGCCUUCACAGGGGCGCAUCAGGUCCGAUACAUAACGCUUCUAUGGCGCCUAGAAAGGAAGACAGGGAAGUCAGGGAAAGAUGGUCCACCAUGAAAUCCCACAGAAUAUCUGUAAGGGCUUUAUGAGCUUCACUGAAAGUCAGAGGGAUGGGAAGUUCACCACAUCAAGGAUUUCAUCCAGUAGGUAAAACAUCCCAGUUGAAUAAACCCUUAAGACUCUG